rnacentral:lncRNA from 1 species
CUCCUUGCUCAGACCCCUGGGCUGGCAGCAGCAACAUUGCCCUUUAUAAAGCCCCCUACCAGCUAGAAAAGAACCAGCUCACAAUCUGCUUCGCGCUUGAUUUAAAGGCGCUGACAAGCUGCUGCCCGCUCCCCAGCACGGUGGCGAGACUGGAUUGGGACUGUCAUAUAUAAUGCAUGGAGUCAGGGCCGCGAGCCGGGUUGUACGCGUGUGUGAUCCGCUCUGGAGCGCUGUUCCCAGAGCCAUUGUGCAAACAUAUUUACUCUGCAUAAAAGAAUGGGAUGAAGCUGCAAAGGACAUUUGUUCAUCGAAGUGGAUUUAAUUUUUAAACUCGCAUUAGGACAGGAUCAACCUUGCUGAAGGAGGAGCGCUCUCUCAGAGGCAGAGAGAGCCCAGCCAGCCAUGGUCACCAUUAAGUCACCUCCAUCAUACUCUGUGAGUUAGGGGGGCAAGUGAGGAUGUGAUCCACCAAUCCCCAACGAAGAAUCCUAGGGAAGAAUCUGAUUGGCUAGUCACCUGCCAGUCAUCACAGCCGAGGGAAAGGAGGGGUGGAGCAGCGACUCCACCAACUACAAAAGGUGAGGUGCUUAUCAACCUUUAUGAGGGAACAAUGGGUGAAGACAAUGACCAGGGUGCAGGCAGGCUGACCAUCCCAUCGGUUUGCCUGGAACUGUCCUAGUAUUAGCAAUGACAGUCCCAUGUCCCCAGGGCAAACCAGGGUGGUUGGUCACUGAAGUUCAAGUCCCUCUAGACAUUUCCAAACCUAAUUAACAAGUUGGGGAAGCGAGCUGUAACCCGUUUCUCUAGCUCUUUAUUUGUGUGAUUUGGCCAGAAAUUGCUUCAAGAGGAGACGUUCAAAAAGGAACAAAAAAUCAGAACUGAAACAAUGUCGGAGGGCACUUUGGGGUUUCUUCAGCAAAAUGCAAAUCCCUCCAUUAUCUUGUGGUUUAAACCAAAGCUGCCUUUUGGAAACUCCCGCUGAUUCUCCAGCCUCAUGGAGGGUGGCAGGUUCCUCUUUUAAGUGUUCCAGGCUAGGAGUUGCGUGGUUAACGCUGGGGUAAUACACACUCUGUAUUUGCUACCACAGCCCCCCACCCCUAGAAGUCUCCCAAGAGGAAAUCGGUGGUGUGGUCAUGCACAGCUCCUGUGCUCCUGAUGGAGACUGUUGUGGAUCCAGGGCCAUCUAGACAUCUAGGUAUUUUCAGCUUUCUUCCCUUAGGACAAGAGGACCAAGGCCUGAGCAGCCCUGAAUCGCUCCCAUGAUGGCCCAAACAGGCACGGAGGAGGGUGAUUGGUCCCUGAGAAUGUGGAUGCCUGGAGCAGUUCACGGUACUGUCUCUGCCUCGUUCUGAGCCUGCACUGGGGCCUUGGGUCCCUGCAGAGCUGGUGGCCCACAGCUGGUAGCACUGUCCAGGUGCAGGUUUCAAUCAUCUUCCAGGUAAAGGACGUGCACGUGGCCUAACAAUAGAAGCCGACCUUCAGUAAGAGCCACCUGGGAUGGGGCAGGUCACCGGACCACCUUUCUUCACCUGUGUCCCAUCUGCGGUGGGGAGGGGGGACUUCAUUCUGCAUUUUACAUUUGAGGUAACUGAGGCAACCUGGAGGAGGUCACAGAGCUAACCAUUAGUGGGAGAGCAUCAGGCACAUGAGGACCUGCAGCUUUGCAGGAGGAAGAUCCUGAUGCCCCCAAGCAUCCUCACAGGCGCUCUCGGCUGGAGGUUCAUCUUUCAAAUCAGCCCUGCCUCCUCCAGUCAGCUCUGUCUGGUUUAGCUCAGCUAACAGGAUGCGUCAGCUUACCUGAAUAAAACACUUUACACCCCCACGUAAGGACCAAUAAGCUUAACCUUUAGGGACAGGUUUGGUUUUUGUUUUGCCUCUUCCUGUCACAGGCUUCAGCUGCCACAUGGAUGAGGAAGUCAGGGAGGUAACUGACCAGACCAGCACACCUUCUCCCUGCCCCUGGCUGGCUAGCUGGGACCUUUCCCCCUCUGCCUCUCCAAACCUGAGGCUGAAAGGGGCCUAUGGGGGUGUUCGGGAAUCUGGGAGGUUGCCAAGCCCCAUCCACCAAGGUGGGCCGGUUCUGUCCCUAAGUUGGAGCUCAGGACUGGCUUCAGCCAAGGCAGUGCCCAGAGCCUUUGAGAGACCCCAGGCUGGGGUCGGUGGGGUGGGCCUGGCUCUCUGGGGAAGGCUGCCAUCAGGGAGCGUGGGCUGCCGCACACUCUCCUCCCGGUGUUGACAGUGACGGAUGUGGUCAGGGCAGGACCCAGACAGGGAAGAGCUGAGGUUCCUGGUGGGUCAGUUUGGCUCUUCCCUGCUCUGCUCUGUGGCUGCAAAUACAAACCUGGGGCCCAGCAGGGACAGGCAUCCCCACCUGUCAAAGGCCUACGGACCCAGGGAGGGGGACGCCGUUCCUCACGGCCCUGGUGUCAGAAGCAUGACCGGCCUGCUUUGUCAAGAGGCGGAGGAGGGCGGGAUGCCUGCUGGGCAUGUGGACUCUCAGCUUCCAAGCAGGUCCUGUUGCCCUCCUGCCCUCCAGGUGACAAAGCUGAGGCACUGUUGGGAGUAGCAGUCUGCCCGUCAUCCCUGGCAGUGGGUCAACAUGCAGCCUGGCUCUGGGACCUGGAAUUGGACCUGGGUUAUGCAGCUGGCCUGUGCAGGUGCCAGCCUCGCCUCUCUGGGCCUCCAUCUCCUGAGCCACACAAUGAGGACGAGGCCGGCUCUGCACUGAGAGCAAGGCCGACGGCAGAGGCCAUGUGCCGCAGACCUGGACUCAUCCCCUCACUAUGCAGGCAGGCCCCAGCCCCUAGAAGCUCCUGGAACUUGGAACUCUGGGCAGAAGCCCUCAGAACAGAGCAGCCCAGUUCUGCCUCUUCCAGCUUCCCCAGGAGCCUGCUGCCUCGUCUGCAGUGGCAGGGAAGACCAUGACGCCCCCCACACCCACAUCCAGGCUGCCUUGCAAUCCACACACCUGUCCAUUUCACCUCCAUCCACGUCCCUCUCCCCUGCGGCCACCACGCAGGCCCAGCCACCCCCACCCCUCUGCUGCUGCAGCCUGGAAGGUCGCUGCAUGCUUCUCUAUCCCGGGCAGUCCCGCACCGCUUGGGGAAGCUGGAAGAGUCCAGGUCUGCUGGCACCAGCCGUGAGAUGGAGCAUAAGGGGCAUGUGGCACCCCUGAGCACAGACCCUCCUGGGCUGUCCUGUUACAGAGAGGGGCAGAUCACCCUCCUCACAGCCUCCAGGCCCUCUGGGUCCAGCCGCGUUCCCUGCCCGACUCAUUGUGUGAGUGCCAGGCACGUCCCCCUCCUGGGCACUCACCCUGCCACCCCCAGGCCUCCUAGGGCCAGAGUCUCUGCCCUGGACACGUGUAUUUUCCUACUAACUGCCACUCAUCCUUCUGUCUUGUCUGCCCCGGACAGUCAUGCCUCUGCCAUCUCCCCCUGGCAGGGCACGCUGCACCUUCUGAAUCCCACCGUGGCCCUGGGAAAAUUUCACUUGUCUCUCGGCACACCAAGGCCAGGCAUUCAGGGAUUGCAUCACUUUCCUGAGCUAUGUACCUGCAGCAUCUGGCUCGGGGCUGGGUGUGUCACUGACCCACAACCACUGCUGAAUGAAUGAUGAGUGGAUGAGUGAGUGAUGAGCGGAUGAGUGAGUGAUGAGCGGAUAAGUGAAUGAGCACAGGUGGGUCUCAGGAGGUCCUUCCAGCCCUAGAACUGACUCGGGGGCCUUGGUUAAUGCCAGUGGGUGAUUUUCUGACUCUAAAGGCAGAUGUGGGGAGUGGAGACUCAGCCCUGAAUGCAUGCAGUGACCCAGCACUGAGAGAGGACGGUGGCUCUGGCGGGGUGGCCGCCUGCGAGAUGCUCCCCGGGGCCUGCUGCGGAGAUGAGUAAACAUCAGAGUUUUGUGAUGAGGGCUCUGCCAGGGGAAGCCCACGGUAUCACGGAGAGAAGACAAGGGCAUCCACCACAGGAGGAUGGACAGGGUGGGCAGGUGUGGGCUUCGUCAUCCAUCAUGGCCAGGGCUGGGAGUCCUCAGCGCUUCCAGCUCUGGAGACAGGCCCAGAACCCUGGAAAGAGGAGCUCCCAUCAGCCCACAGGGGGCUGGGCCGGCCAUCCAAGGCAGACAUCCAGGGUCCUUCUAUUUGAACCGAUGGGUAGAUGCUCAGCUGCUCCGGGGGCUGGUCCAGGCUCCAUCCCAGUCCUGGCUGUCCAUGCAGAACAUGGUACCCAGGCCCCAGGACUAGCAGAUAAUCCUUCAAGAGGGUCCAGAAACGGUGUGCCGAGCACAGUUCUCCAUGAGUCAGAGGCCUCUGGACAUGAGCCUAAGGGGCCCACAUUGAAAUAGGACUCUCUAAUCACAGCUGGGCACCAAUCAGGCACCGGCUUCCAUGGCUGAGGCCUGCUGGCUUCUCUCUCUCAGUGAACCGUGCUCCCGUCAGCCUCCGCGCGACAUCCCGCAAGGCUGCAGCCACCUCUCGCUCUGCAUCCAGGAGCAGGAGUGUCCGGGGUGGAGGCUCUGCUGCCCCAUAGGCUGUGGGGCUGUCUGUGCCAGGAGGAAGGACCCCUACCCGCACCUGCUGUGUGCCUGCUCAGGGGUCGAGGCAGCUGCGCAGCUUACAAAGAGGACAGCACCCCCGUCUCAGGCUGCCAGGGCCUUCUGUGAUCUCCUGUCCUUGGGCUCCUCUGCUGGCACCCUCCUGCUCCUCCUGAGCCGUCCUCGUGCCCUUGCCAUCUUUCCUGGAAAGCCUUGCAUCCAUUCAGCACAGCUUCACAGCUUCACCCAGCCCGGGCCUCAUGUGCCCCAGAAACACAGCCUUGAACACAACAGCGGGUUCCCUCUCAGGAGCUUCCCCACCUCCCCCUGGGUCAAGGAGAGGGAGACCAGCAUUGGCGUGCACUGUGUCAGGUGGAGAUCAAUUGGAAGAAAAGCAAAGUGGGGUGGUGGUGGGCAGGGGACCGCAGGGGGUGCUAUCUCAGAGGUUUCUGCAGGGCCGUCUGUGCAGAAGCCCAUUGCUGUCGCUUGUAGCUCAUCGUCCUUGUGGCAGCCCCAUGCCAGUUCUGCAGGCCAAAGAACAAGGUUCAGAGAGGGUGAGCAGCUGGCAAGAGAGCACACAGCAGCUAGUGGCAGGAGCGGAGCCCAGUCUUCCCUCCAACCGAGCCCUUUCCUUCUCCUUAGCUUUGCCCACCGAAGCCCUUCCCAUCUCCUUGCCUAGAGAUGGUUAGGCGUGACGACUGUGUUCAGGAUGACCCUGGCCAGGUGCAAUAAUUACAAGCCUAGGAAAAAUGACAGAAAAUAAACAUUCCAAGAUAUUAGCAAGCUGGCGUGGCUUUCUCUUCUGCUUUACAUUAUUUUUUCCUUACUUUCCAAAUUUUAUGCGGUGAGAAUUUAUUACUUUCAUUACCAGGUGCAAAAAAUAGAAACAAACAAAAAACUCUGUCUGAUCUUUCAGACUAGUUCGAAUGUCUUCUUUUCUAGAACUGGGAUGACCAGGACAUUUGGGCGUGAAAGGGGCCCUACAAGCCUUAACAGAUACUAAAGAACGUCAGACAAGCAGAAUGAGGAUGGCCCCAGGCAAGGUGGACCCCACCCCAGCUGCAGGGAACAGCAAGGCUGCAGGUCAGUGUUGAGUGGCCCUUUACAAAGGACUGUGACCCAGGCUGGGGGCAGUGGCUCACGCUUGUCAUCCCAGCACUUUGGGAGGCUGGAUCGCCUGAGGUCAGGAGUUCGAGACCAGCCUGGCCAACACGGUGAAACCCUGUCUCUACUAAAAAUACAAAAAUUAGCCGGGUGUGGUGGUGCACACUUGUAAUCCCAGCUACUUGGGAGGCUGAGGCAGGAGACUAGCUUGAACCCAGGAGGCGGAGGUUGCAGUGAGCUGAGAUUGCGCCACUGCACUCCAGCCUGGGCAAGAGUGAAACUCUGUCUCAAAUAAUAAAAACAAACAAAGAAACAAAAGCAAACACACACAAAACAAAGGGCCGUGACCCACAUGGACCUGGGACAAGGCUUCGGCUAAGCAAGCCCAAUGUCCAGUGGCUAUGGCCUCAGGAAGGUCAGCAAGGCAAGUUCCCUAUCCCUAAGACCGGGUCUUGAGACAGAAGCAGACAGUAGGCUCAACUCUCUGGAGGGCCCUGGCCAGGGCAACACAGGUCCACGUCCAGGCAAGGUCAUGCUCCCUGCCCCGCUCUGCCCCUUGGAGCAGGCUGUCAGAGGGGCCAAGGACUCCUCUCAGCAGGCUCGGGAGGAAACAGGAUCUCGAGUUCUAUUUUUUAAAUCACAAAAUUAGGGCCAUUUCUGUCUCUCCCUGGUCUGUCCCCUCCGAACCUGGGAGGCCCCUCUCCAGCAGAGGCUGCUUCUGUUCUCUCUCAUUCCAUAAAAACACUCCCGAGCCUUUCUGUUGCUGCAAAGAGAGCUUUGAUUCUUUGCCGAGAAUCUGCACCGCGGGCUCCAAAUGGGAGCGUUUCUCCGGAGAGGAGCAGGAGGAGAAUCAUUUUGUCGACGGCAGGUAAUUAAGUUGCCACGCAGAGAGGGAGCAUGCGUUAUACGAUGAUUAAUCCCAGAGACGGCGAGGACAUUUUUCAUUUUCAAAUCUCUCCUUGGUUGUUAAUGAAUCAUCUCAGCUCCUGGGAGAGAAGUGCUGGUGCUCGCCCUAAGAGCAAGGGAAACUGAGUCGGCUGUGCCCACCGCCCCCGCCACACGGUGCAGAGUGGAAGCAGCCUCGGGAGGGCAAGUGCUGGGAGACCAUGGGCUUUCUCCCCGGGCAUCUCGUCCAUGUGGCUUCCUGUCUCCCCAGCCUCAUCUGGGCAGGAAUUCAGGAAUCAAUAAAAAUGUUAUUUUAAAUAAAAAGAAAGCCACCCUGCUCUGCUUGGCACAGGCUGCCAUUGACCGCCUUCUGCACCUGCUUUUGUUCUGUUUUUCUCAGGUACCUGCUCAUUUCCAGCUCCCAGCCUCCCUCAGAACACAGACUGCCUUGCCAUUUUCUUAGCGAGCGGUUUGCAGCAAAGUGCUAUUUUGCUCUCGAACGCCUUCCUUUCCAAUUGGGACAAACGGCUAUGAAUACGGCACACCCUGUUUUGCAUUCAAACUGUUGGGAAAGUUUUGCGGCUGUAAAUAUCAUGCUCUUGGUGCUCAAGACAGAAUUAUUAUUACUUUUUCCUUAGUUCUUGGAACCAGUGAUAAAUUAAACAUUUCUUUUGCCCCCCCUUGCAGCCGGCAGGCAAUGUGGAGCUGAUUGCUUUGCCUCUGUCCUGACCCAUGUGCCCCAUCGGGAGAGGAACAAGACGACAGUGACUUGCCAGGGGCACAGGCACAUGGAUGGGGAGCAGGUCUAAAUGGGGGAGGGGGCACGUGCAGGGGGGGCUUUCCUGAGAUAGGGCUUCUCUUUGGUGUUUUCCCUGCACAAUCUUCCAAUGAUGUAUAGAGUUUACCCUCAACGCUCAGAGGCUGACAUUUGACAUAGAGGGAAACUGAGGCACAAUGGAGGUCUCCAGAAGAUUCUGUCCCCACACACUGUUCUCUUUCCAUCGUCUGCUCUGGGUCAGAUCCUGGGAAGUGGUGUUUUUCCUCUGGGGCGGGCGCUGGGCGUGUGGAGGUGGGAAAGCCUCACUCCUGGGCUCUGCCAGGUGGAAACGGAGGGCGCUGUGCCUCUUGGACUAAAAGGGUGAGCCUGGCAGGUGCACUGGCCUGACUCGCGUUCCUGCUUCGAGGUCCUGAGCACCUCCUCGGAGUCUCAGUUUCCUCACCUGCAAAUGAUCUUGAAGAUGUUCAAAUGCCUUCUUCCCUCCCGAGGUCCUGAAAAUGGCUGGGGAGGUCCGGGGGGGAGGAUUACGUGAGGCACACGGGAUCCGCCGUGACUCAGGCCACAGGGUCCGCUGGGCACCCCGCCCAGACUGCCCCCCACCAAGAGCUGCCAUGCACAGGUGGGUGGUGGAGGCUCCAGCCCCGCUCAAGCCUGCAGGCACACUUUCUCAUCGACGGACCCCAACACAUCCCUGUGUGUGGGCAGGGCUGGCAGGGGAUUCACGCCCACCUGCCCCGCAGCACCCCGCCGUUCUGCCUCCACCCUGUCUGCCUCGCUCAAGUGCACGAUGGCCAGGUGGAUGGAUGACCCUCCCAACCUCACCUCCCAGGUUUCCCUGAGGGAACGCAGCCCCUACUGGAUCCUACUGGACCUGGGUUCUGAGAUGACCCUUCCACAUGAAGAAAGAGAGUCCAGGGCUGGUGGGGGCAUCGCAGCUUCCUGGGGCCCUGCAGGAGACGGAAGAAGCCAGGGUGCUCAUCACACAGGCCUCCAGCUUUCUCCAGGGGCUGGACCUGGGGACCAGCCUGGGGUAUGGGUUCCUUCCUCUCCCCAUCCCCAGCCUGCCAGCCCCUCCCGGAUGGAGGUGGGAGUAAGAUGCCCCCCCGCUGGAGAGCCUUUUUCUGUAGCUGUGCAGGGGUGGGAGUAGGGGAGACAGGGCUUUGUCUAAUAAGAGGAAUCCAUCAAGUUUGCUAAACCACUUUCCCUCUGGAGCCAUGCGGCUCCUCUCCAGGGAGCUUGGCCUGGCCAGGCCUGCAAGCGGUGCCUCCUCCCAGCCCCACCCUGCCUUUUGUCUUUGUCUCUGACAUCUGCGUUCCUUCUGAGUGUGCUUUGCUUCUUUCUGCUGCUCGAUGGCUAAUAGGAUUGAGCGGGAAGGCGCCAGGAGAGCCGGCAGCCCGGCCUGGGAGGGGCUCUCACUCUUCCUCUGCCAGAAGCCUUAUCGAGCGCAGGGUGUUUGACUUCAGAAACACAUCCCCACGGCUUUCCUUUCCGCCUUCCUUCUGGGACUGAUUUGUUUACUUCUUUCAGAGGUUCGCCGUCCCUCUUUCUGCAGGGGUUUGCUGGAUCACAGGUCCCCAGUGCCCCGGACAUAGUGUGUGAGGAAUGCGGGUAUGAGAGAUACUAACAUAGGCAAAGUCGGCUCAUCUCAUCCAACCUCACCACCCUGUGCAUUGCAACCCCACAGUGCAAUGUAAAGAUGGGGAAACAGGCCCAGAGACUCAAGAGAAAUGAAACGAGUGGAGAUUGAGACUGAACUGGACCGGGAUCCGGGCCCCACAGCUGGGCUUGUCCCGAGGCUGUGUGCUGCCCCCGGAGCUCCUUGGAUGGAGAAGCGCUCCCUGCCCCUCCCUGCUCCAUGCCUGGCUUAGACACACGGCGGCCCUGCUCAUGCCUGAAAUUCCACCCUUAGCCACCCUCCCCUGUUUGGCAUUGCCCUCGCACCCCCUCUCGAGGGACACAGAAACCCCGCGUGUGGGUGUCCUCACUGCAGGUCUCCCUACCUGGCAGGCGGGGAAUGUUUUGGGGCAGGUGGUGGGCAAUGGAGGAGAAACAGUAAGCAGGGAUUUCAGGAAGAAGAAAACGCCAGCAAGAUCUGAUCCUGGUCCUCAAAGAGCAUGGAGACCCUCUUUAUACAAAUGGGAAUACUGAGGUAUGCAGUUCGAGAGGAUUGACCGAGGCCAUUUGGCUGGUUGAAGGUGGGUAAAGUCCUGGGUUCCUAAUUUCUGCCAGGAGACCCUUGCUCCAUUCUCUUCCCAGGGCAGAACCACACUUGGUCCUGGGGAAAGCCACCUGGAGAGCGGAGGGCAGAGGGUGGAGGGCAGAGGGCGGAGGGCAGAGGGCAGAGGGCAAAGGGCAGAGGGCAGAGGGUGGCGCGGAGGGUGGGGAAGCACCCCUGUCACCUCUGCCCAUGCAGCCUACCCCGUCCCCAAUUCACGAGACAGUUAACUUGGUUCUUGCCCUGAGCCAGGCCCUGGCCCGGAGCCUGGGGCCACAGGUGCCCUCAAAUGCACAUGGGACUCAGGCUCAUCAGCAGUGGCCUCAUGGCAGGAGGGUGGUCACUGUGGGCUGGGGGAGGCUGUGAGGCUCCUCUGGCAGCUCCACCUGCGAAAGCCAAGUCGAAGAGUGAGUUGAGUGUGUGCUGGCCCAUCUGCCCCUUUCCCUCUCCGCUCAGGGCCCAGAGCCUCCCAAACAGGCAGCUGUGACUCUGAUGAAGCCACCUGGUGCUGGGGGUGUGGGGUGGGGUUGGGGACAGCAGGGGAAGCCCACUACUUGGUAGUCCCAAAUGUCACAGUCUGUGACCCAUGAAGGAUGGCUGGGCCACUCCUUGGGACAGGGUUACACCAGACACACACACAGAUGUAUUCACACCAGACACACACACACAGACACAUUCACACCAGACACACAGACACAUUAACACCAAAAACACACAGGUACAUUCACACCAGACACACACACACAGACACAUUCACACCAGACACACACAAAGACCAUUCACAGCAGACACACACACAAAGACACAUUCAGACCAGACACACACACAGACACAUUCACACCAAAAACACACAGGCACAUUCACACCACACACACACACAAAGACACAUUUACACCAGAUACACACAGACCAUUCACUUCAGACAGACACACACACAUUCACACCAGCCACACACAGACACAUUCAAACCAGACACAGAUACAUUCACAUCAGGCACACACACACAAAGACACAUUCACACCAGACACAGACACAAACCAUUCACACCAGACACAUACACAUUCACACCAGACACACACAAAGACCAUUCACACCAGACACACACACAUUCACACCAGACACACACAGACCAUUCACACCAGACAUACAGACUAUUCACACCAGACACACACACAUUCACACCAGACACACAGACACAUUCACACCAGACACACACAAAGAGACAUUUACACCAGAUACACACACACAGACCAUUCACUUUAGACAGAGACCAUUCACACCAGACACACACACAUUCACACCAGACACACACAGACCAUUCACACCAGACACACACACAUUCACACCAGUAACACACACAGACACAUUCACACCAGACACACACAAAGAUACAUUUACACCAGAUACACACACAGACCAUUCACUUCAGACAGACACAGAUACAUUCACCCCAGACACACACACAAAGACACAUUCACACAGACACAGGCAAAGACACAUUCACACCAGACACACACACAGACACAGGCACACCCCUGCACACAGCCACUGUGCUCAUGCAUAGCCGGGUACACCUGCUUGCACACUCACACUCGCUCACCCCCACACCCCCCCCCCCGCUUCCUCACCCACUUUCUCUCCUGGUCCUGCAGUGCUUGUUCCCACUAGGUCCCUGGGGGGCCAGGGAGAGCCAGCCAGGCCCGCCACCAUUCUCUCCCCGCAGAGCGAUGCUGCGUGUCCAGAGCAGCGGGUGUGGGAGGCAGAGCCUGGAGCUCCCAGAGCCGGCGGCCCACGGCCUCGCCUCCAGCCAGGAGGGUGCGGAAUUCUCCCCCACCCAGCAGAGGCUCUGGCCAUCUGUCUCCAAGGAUGCGGGGGAGCGGACCGGCUGUGCCGCUCUAGGGCUGCUCCGCCUGACAGACAGCAGUGUCGACCACCCAUGUUUGCUGCACAGACUCUAGCUUCCACACCCCUCCCCACCCCAGCAGCCUGGGGAAGGAAGGCUGGAGGUCCCUGCAUGACGGGUGAGGAGAGAGGACAGGAGCCCGGUGCUCUGAACACCGCCCCAGCCCAGCUGCACGUCAGGACCCCGCACUGGCCUCUUACAUUGAGAAGCCAAGACCCACCCAAAACCCAGCUAUCAAAGUCUCUGGGGACAGCACCAGCAGGGCAGAGGGCGUUGGUUCCCUUAGAAUGUGCUAGAAGGCUCAUCCCUGCAGGAGGUGCCCCUGCAGGCAUCCUUGCCCCCACACUGCCUGGUGCUGCCCACCUGCUCACUUGCAGGUGACCCUAGUUUCUCAGUGGCUCGGCAGCCUCGCGGGCUGUUGUAACACUGACACCACGUCUGUGAGAUCAUUGGCUUGGAAGAUUCAGCUCAGAAUUGGAUAGAAGGGCCCUGCCCUGCCAGGCACAGCUGCCGGCCCUUGUCACCUGCAGCUGCAUGAGAAACUAAGGCUCAAACCAAAUCCUUCUGGACAGAAAAGCAGGUCCCCCUCCACUACCCCUUCGUCUGGGCUCUCGGUCAGCGGGGUCAGGGUGGCCGGGACAGUCACUCUCAUUUCCAGAGGAGGCGAGAGGCAGAUGAAGGCCAUGGACAGCAAGCCAUGGGGCCACAGCACAGCCUCAGGUCGUUGCUGACACACCUGCGCCUCCCACAGCCCUCCCCAGGAAAGCCGCGGCAGAGCUCACCCCACUCCCAGGGUGCUCACCUGGGACCUCCUCACCUCUGCACCUGCCCUGGGUAUCCUCAGCCGUGACCCUGGCCUGGCAGUGCCGGCGGACAGGUUGCAACCAGCCCAGCUCCCCAGGGGUGAGAGGGGCCCAUCACCGGCCACCCACAGGCAUCCCUGGGUCUGCUUUUUGGAGCAGUGUCCGGGGUUCCCUUCAUAUCCUUUAUAUCUAUGUGAACCUGACCGGCACACUCACUCCAGGCCCAGGUGUUCUGUAAACACUGAACACCAUGCUGUUAACCAAGGUUACGUUAAAAAGUGACUAUGUGGCCAGGAAAUAGAUUUUGUAUAGUUAUGUGCUGUUAGGAUAGAUACGGGUUUUCGUCUGCGGCUCCUGGCUUAUAACUCCCAUAGCACUUGUUCCCAUUUGCGUUAGAAUGUUGGGGGUGUUGAGCCUCAUGGGCAGCCUCUGCCUUCUCCUGCCCUCCUUUCACCUGCCCCAAGGCGGCACCCUAACUUUCUCCUGCCUUUCGGAUUGUGGGUCUUAAGACCCUCCCAUGAGAGGGUCCCAUCCUAUGCCAUGGGGGAAGGAAUGCUGACAUCAUGAAGCUUCCAUAAAAUCCCAAGAGGACUCGGUUCAGUGCGGUUCCUGGAGUGUGGCGCGCCCAGCAAGGAUGUGGGAGCUCUGCGUCCCUUCCUCCCACUUCGGUCUACGCAUCUCUUCAUCUGCAAUAUUCUUUUUCAUUAAUCUAUAAAUGUGUUUGCCUGAGCUCUGCGAGCUGCUCCAGCAAAUUAAUAGAAUUGGAAAGAGGGGGUCAUGGGAAUGCCAACCUGAAGGCGGCCAGUCAGAAGUUCCAGGGGCCCAGACUUGCGGCUGGUGUGUGUAGGGGCAGCCUUGGCGGGGGAGCAUCACAGAAGUCUUCUCCUGUGUUGAUGAUUAUUGAGGUGUGAGAGUAGAGGAGAAACACAGUUCAGGUGAGAGGCUUCCCUGCACAAGUUACCAACCAUAUGACCUGGCACAACUUUCCCAACCUGUGCCCCUUCCUCGCCUACUGGGGGGUAAUGAGAUCAAUGCCGUAGCCUGAGCAAGAGCCCAGAACGGGGCUGGGUGGGUGGGCAAACCUCGAGAAACGUGAGCUCGUAUGUGAGGCAUAUGACAGGCCGAACAGUGUGCCAUGUCCGUGGUGCCAUGCCCCAGCGUGGCUUUGAGCGCAGUGACUCUCUUAGAUUUCUGAUUGUAAAGGCCCUGUGUGCUGGGUAAAGAGUUUGGAGAAAUGCAGAAAAUUUAAAGAACAUGAAGAACUGCCCAGAAAUAACAACUGUGAACGUUUUGGAGGCCUCUCGUCCUUUCCUGUGUACCUCGUGGCACAGCUACACUGUGCCCUGCCUGGGGUCCCAGAACAUGACAGCAUCCACUGCCACCCUGACUCAUGCCUGUCCUCAGCUGGGCUCCUGCGCCAACCACAACCCCACUCCCCCCUGAAUGACAGCCAGUCUGUCAGGAUAUUCCUCCUCCGCUCAGGGCAGCCCCACUGCCGAGUCCCCAGCAUGCAUUGACUUGGGUACUCCCUACCUUGAGUCAACCAUUAGGCCCAUCACGCUGAUGCAGAGCAGGGAGCCCCAAAGUGGGGCUGGGCCCCCAAGGAUUCUUUACUUCACCCAGGAGAGACUUCAAGGGCAAGCCCCUGGUGGGGUGGGGCUUUAUUGACGAGGCAGUGUUGCAGCUCCGUGACUGUCCCUACAGAGCAGGACUACCCCACAGGCAGUGCGCUGAGAGGAGCAGCUCAGAGCAGUUGUGCAGUCACAUCUAUAUCUACUUUUAAUUACAAGCAGAUUAAGGGGUGGUUUAUGCAGAAAUUUCUAGAUCCUGGGGUUAUUGCCAUGGAAAGAGGAGGUAACGCCCAGGUGUUGCCAUGGCAGCGGUCAACUCACACUGGUGGGCGUGUCUUAUGGAAAGGUGCUUCCACCCCAUCCCUGUUAUAGCUGGUCCUCAAUUUGGUCCAGCAUCUGAGCCCCGCCUCUGGAGUAGAGUGCCACCUCUCCACUGCAAUGUGGGUGGGGACAGAUCCCCUGGGGCACCUAGCUGAAAGUCACAUCCUGCCGGAAGAGCUAAGACCACACCUGUCUGUCUGAUUUCUGAAGCUGGGCUCUCAUCCCUUGGAUCUCUGGCUCCCUUCUUGUCCUAGAGGCGAAGGGGAAGAGCUAAAUAUUUCGUGACCUUUAGGCCAUACUUGUAGAGGGGUGUGCAGGCGGGAGGAACUGAGGCCAGGUUCCGACUCUGGCUGGAGGCCUACCCAGGCCCCUGAGGUUUCUCCAGGGUCAACCCCAUGGCCCACUGGCAGCUGAGUCACACAGAGUGAUUGCUGGUCAUGCCCUUGAUUGAGAACGAUGCACUCAGAGCGUCCUCCGCUCAUAAAUAGCAGGAAGCAAAGUACAUUACGAGAGCAUAUGGUACCUCUAGGCCAUUUCUGCCUCUGGCCCCGUCACUGCCACAGUGGCUGAAACUCAUCUUCUGUUCUGACAGGUUUCCCUAGAAACCCAUCAAUUUAUAGUGUCUAUAGCUGGCCUUUUGGAGGCCCCAGACCAAACUGUGUUAGAAAACAACAGCAACAACAAAACUCCUAUUUCUCCAAAUGGCCCUGGAAGAUGCACCGGCUGUGCCCUCAAGACGCUGUGUGUGGGGCAUCCGCCUCCCUGGGCGCGUGGAGCUGGCUGAUGGCCAGGGUGUAAGGGUGCAUACUGGGCAAGGACGGGCUGAGGCAGUUGGCAAGGUCUGCAUCACCUCCACCCAUCCGUGGUCCCUGGUCAUGAAGGAUACGCCCAUCCAUCCACCUUUCUGAAACUGUUGUCAACGCACUCUGAAUUCAGGAAUGCUCUCCUCUCUCUUCCUUCUCCCCUUGGCAGACUCAGGGCGGAAAUGGUAGCUGACGUUUUCCCCAAGAGCGAGGACAAGGAAUGACCAAAAGAUCAUCAUCCCAGGGGCUUUGGGAAUGUGGGCCCUGCUGCAUUUCCUUCAGCAGAAGGGUUUCUUUCCUUCAGUUUCCAUCAGCUUUCAGGGAGGACAAAGGUCCCUUUUGCUAACUGAUCUCUGUCUCACCCUCUGCAAACCCAUCCUAUAGGCUGCAGUCAUGGCCCCACUUGGGAGUCCGCCUCCUUUCUCUCACUCCUGACUUCCCAAAACUCUGGCUGGUUGUGUGCUCCAGGGAACUUUCUAGGGUGAUGGCAAUAUGCCAUAAUUUGGAGUUUUAGGGUGGUAGUUACGUGGGUGCCUACAAUUGUUAAAAUUUACUAAAUUAAGAUCUGUGCAUCAUAUUGUGUUAAAUUGUAUCUCAAACAGAAAAGGACGAGAGUGCACCUUGUGGAGGGCAAAUCUGUGCCGCACCCCCCAGCCCCGCCGGUGCUCUGGGGUUGGCCUCAGCUCAUGCCCUGCAAGUCCUCGCCUGCAGACGCAGCUUGCUUUGCUCAGCACGCUCAUGCGUGUAUGCCACGGGUCAGUUGAGAUCUGGACCAUGGGUAGGUACAGAAUCUUUCUUGGUUAUUGUGAUGGUUUUAACAGCUUUGUUGAGCUGUAAUCUGCCUACUAUCGAAUUUCCCCAUUUAAAAUACACAACUCAAUGCUUUUUAGUAACUGUCUCCACGAGCUGUGCAACCAUCAGCACAGUCUAAUGUGAGAACAUUUUCAUUGUCCCUUCCCAAAGAAGGCCUGUAUUAAUUAGCAGUCAUUCCCCGAUCCCUCACCUCCUCUAGGUCUUACCUGACCCCAGGCCAGCACCAAUCUCCUGUCUGUCUCUAUGAAUUUGCUGAUUCUGGACAUUUUGUAUAAAUGGAAUCAGACAACGGAUGCUCUUAGUGACUGGCUUCUCCACUUGGCAGAAUGUGUUCAAGCCUCUUCCAUGUUGCAGCACACAAUUGUACUUCAUCCUUUUUUGUUGCUGCAUAAUACUCCAUGGUUGCUGAAUACUAUUCCAUGGUAUUACUUGUCAGUUGGUAGACAUUUGGGUUGUUUCUACUUUUUGGCUGUUAAGAUCUAAUGCUGCUAUGAAAUUCAUGUACAAGUUUUUAUGUGAACAUGUUUCCAGUUUUUGUGAGCAUAUACCUAGGGGUGCAAUUGCUGGGUCAUAUGGUAACUGAAUAAUUAAUCUUUUGAUGAACUGCCAGGCUGUUUUCAAAUCAACUGCAUGAUUUUACAUCCCACCAGCAGCAUAUGAAAGUUCCAAUUUCUCUACAUCCUUGCCAACACUUGUUAUUAUCUGUCUUCAUGACUACAGCCAUGCUAAUGGAUGUGAAGUGGUAUCUUACUGUGAUUUUGAUUUGCAUUUCCCUGAUGGCUAAUGCAGCUGAGCAUCUUUUCAUGUGCUUAUUGGCCAGUUGUGUAUCUUCUUUGGAGAAAUGUCUAUUCAAGUCUUUUGCCCCUUUUUAAAAAAUUGAGUUCUCUGUCUUUUAAUUAUUGCAUAGUGAGUUCCUUAUUAUUAUUAUUAUUAUUAUUAUUAUUCUUUUAUUUUAUUUUUAUGAGAUGGAGUCUCACUCUGUCACCAGGCUGGAGUGCAAUGGCUUGAUCUUGGCUCACUGCAACCUCCACCUCCCAGGUUCAAGCAAUUCUCCUGCCUCAGCCUCCCAAAUAGCUGGGACUGCAGGUGCACACCACCAUGCCCAGCUAAUUUUUGUAUUUUUAGUAGAGACAGGGUUUCACCAUGUUGGCCAGAAUGGUCUCAAUCUUGUCAAGAUCAGGAUCAGGUGAUCCUCCUGCCUCGGCCUCCCAAAGUGCUGGGAUUACAGGCAUGAGCCACUGUGCCCAGCUGUGAGUUCUUUAUUCUAGAUACAAGUCACUUAUCAGAUGGAUGAUAUAUAACGAUUUUCUCCCAUUUUGUCAGUUGUCUUUUUAAUUUAUUGUGUCUUGAAGCACAAAAGCUUUUAAUUUUAAUGAAGUCUAAUUCAUCUGUCUUUUCUUUUGUUCCUUGAGCUUUUGAUUUCAUAUCUAAGAAGCUGUUGAGUAACACAAGGUCACAAAGAUUUAUGCCUGUUUUUUUCUAAGAGCUUUUAUAGUUUUAGCUCUUACAUUUAAAUCUUUGAUCCAUGUUUUUUUUUUUUUUUUUUUUUUUUUUUUUUUUUUUUUGAGACAGAGUCUUACUCUGUCACCCAGGCUGGAGUGCAGUGGCAUGAUCUUGGUUCACUGCAACCUUCACCUCCCUGGUUCAAAAGAUUCUCCUGCCUCAGACUCCCAAGUAGCUGGGACUACAGGCACAUGCCACCAUGCCCAGAUAAGUUUUGAAUUUUUACUAGAGACAGAGUUUCGGCAUGUUGGCCAGGCUGAUCUUGAACUCCUGACCUUAGGUGAUCUGCCCCCCUUGGCCUCCCAAAGUGCUGGGAUUAUAGGCAUGAGCCACUGUGCCUGGCCUAAUCUUUGAUUCAUUUGAAUUAGUUUUUUAUAUGUGGAUAAUUUUUGAAUAUGCAUAUGGAUAUUCUGUUAUUCCAACGCCAUUUGUUGAAAAGGCUAUUUUUCCCUAUUGAAUGGUCUUGGCACCCUUAUCAAAAAUCAAUAGGCCAUAGAUGUGAGGGUUUAUUGGUUUAUUUCUGGACUCUCAGUUCUAUUCCAUUGAUCCAUAUGUCUAUUCUUAUGCCAAUAAACACUAUCUUUAUUGUUGCCUUAUAGUGGGUUUUGAAAUCAGGAAGUCUGAGUCCUUCAACUUUGUUCUAUUCAAGAAUAUUUUGGCUGCUCUGGAUCUCUUGAGUUUCUGUACUAAUUUUAUGAUCAGCUUCUUUAUUUCUACCAAAAAAGUCAGGCAGAAUUUCGAUAGGGAUUACACCAAAUCUGUAGGUAAAUGUGGGGGCGUACCACCAUCUUAACAACAGCAAGUCAUGCCCUUCAAGAAUGUGGGAUAUCUUUGUGUUUAUCUAGGUCUUUAAACAUUUCUGUUAACAACCUUUUGUAGCUUUCAGUGUGCAAGCCUUGGGCUUCUUUUGUUAAAUUUAUCCCUAGGUAUAUAUGCAAUUAUAAGUGGAAAUUUCUUUAAAUUUCAUUUUUGGCUUUUUCAUCACAAGUGUGUAGAAAUAAAAUUGAUUUUUGUAUAUUAAUCUUAUAUCCUGCCACAUUGCCGAACUUGUUUAUUUGUUCUAAGAGUAUUUUUCAUGGAUUUCUUAGGAAGAUCAUUUCAUUUGCAAAUUGAGAUUGUUUUUCCUUUCCUAUGUGGAUAUCUUUUCUUUUUCCUGACUAGGUUUUGCUAGAACCCUAUUGUUGAAUAGAAGUGGGGAGAAGGGACAUCCUCGUCAUGUUUCUGAUCAGAGGUAGAAAGCUUUUUCAGUCCUUCUGAAUUAAGUAUGAAGUUAGCUGUGGGCAUCACGAGCACUCUGAGUAUUUUUAGACGGUGCCAAAGCAAAGCCCUCCUCCGUUCUCAGCAGACCCGUGAACAGCCAUGAACCCCAGUGUCCUUUGCUUUCUCUUGUUCCUUCAUGCUCGCCUUCCACCCUCCUCUGUGCUGACCCCUCCAGGCUGCAAAUAAAACCCACCAGCUGCUUCCUAUGCUACUGUCAAUGCAUCAGCUAAAGUUGGAAUCUCAGCACCAAACCCGAGCCCUUUGUGCCUAAGGCCCCGUGGCACAAUAACCUCCAACACAGUCGUUAGGGUGAGACCUUAGGAGUGAACAACCCCUAUGCAAAUGCCCAAAAAUGUAUUCAGAUGUCACCUAUGUUUGUACCUGUAGCUGUCACAAAUCGUUUAGAAGUGUGCCAUUGGGUGGACGGCUGGAUGGAUGAAGAUAGGGGACGAUUUCUGAUUUAACAACCACCAAGUGUCAGGAGAGAGAAACACAGUCUGCGAGUAGCACUGACUCUGGCAGAGAUUUUAUAACAAUUCAUGCAAAGAUUAUUUAUUCAAUAAAUAUUUAUUGAGCUCCUAUUAUGCACUUGGCACUGGGGAAAAACAAUGAAGAAGACAUAGAAAUCCUGUCCUCUGGCACCUAAGCCUGGUGGGUUCAGGGAGAUGCAUUUGGUUGCCCUGCCAGGGCCUGGGCUUGAGGAGGCCAAGCCAUCUCUCCUAGUCAUCUGAGCCAGAACUUGGCAAACUUCUCCCCAGCUGAGUGAGUGUGUCCAGAAGACUUGCAUUACCAGGGACCCCACCAUGCAGCCAUGGCUUAGAGUGCCCUGGAGUCUGAGUUCAGGUCCCGCAGUUCAGAGCAGAGGGAAGGCAGCUGGCAGAGUAAGGAAGUAAGGAGAAUCCAUGCUCACCCUUGUCUCCCACUAUGUGACCUUGGGCCUGGGGCUGGCAUGGCAGGUGCUACAGCCAGACAAUAGAGGCUCCAAACCCAAGUUUCUGUCACUGUGGGAGCUACCAUGUCAGAGGAAGGUGAUGAUUAAUGCACAAAUAUGUAUUUUCUCCAUCAGUCUGGUCUUUAACCAGUCUCUAGAUUCAUAAUACCCUAUCCAGGACAGGGUUUUCAGAUGGAGCAUCAAUAAUGCAGGUGCACACACAAAUUAUGAAUGAGUUUGAUCCUGGAGCAGUGAUAAGUGAGACUUUCUUGGAAGGCAGGGCUCAGCUGACAGCUGUGGGCCCUGCAGUGACUCCUAUCUACACUCUGGAGGGCUCCGGAAACCUCUAGCUCUGCGCCCCCUCCUCUGAUGCAGUCCACAUUGCAGAAUGGCAGGCUCUCCUGUCCCUCUGGCUCAGCUUGUCCCAGCUUGGCCAGUCAGCCAGGGGCUACCGGGUGCUUCUGUGCCAUGGUAGCAUCUCUCCUCCCCUUGGCCUUUGCUGUGGAAGGAGCUACCUGGAGGAGAUUGUGGCCUGGGCCAGGGACAUCUGUGCCAUCACCCUGGCAGGAGGUGAGGAGGCAGUAAAAGGGCAGCCCAGACUGGCAAGAGAGGGGCUGCCCACUUCGGGGGCAUCACACCUACAGGAGGCAUGUCCUCCAGCACGUGGUCUUCACGCUGCCCCCCGACUUGGACCUCCUUUUAAACUGUACCACACUGGGAAGUCCUUCACCACGGUGGGGCUCACCCUCACCACUGGUCCAUGGCAAGGUGGAAUAAUACUUCCUGAGCUCCUUUUCCCCUCCAACAACUUCAGAGAAUGAACAAGAAAGAGUCUAGAAGAUGCAGCUGGAGGUGCCAUUUUUCCUGGCAUGGUGUUAAAAAUUUUAAAUGGGGCUGCAGUAGCCUUUCCAUCUGUGUGUGUCUCUAGCUGUGUGUUUAUCUGUUCACGUGUGUUGUGUGUAUGUGUGUGUCUCUGUGCACGUGUGUCUCUGGGUUUCUAGGUAUGUAUGUCCAUGUGUAUUCACGUGUGUGCAUGUGUUUCUGUGUAUUUGUGUGCAUAUGUAUGUGUCGAUGUGUGUGUGUAUGUGUGUGUCUCUGUGCACGUGUGUCUCUGGGUUUCUAGGUAUGUAUGUCCAUGUGUAUUCAUGUGUGUGCAUGUGUUUCUGUGUAUUUGUGUGCAUAUGUAUGUGUCGAUGUGUGUGUGUAUGUGUGUGUCUAUGUCCCUGUGUGUGUCUGUGUCUAUUUCUGUGUAUGUGUCUGUGUGUGUAUCUGUGUCUGCAUCUCUUUGUGUGUGUGUAUCUCUCUGUAUGUGUCUGUGUAUAUCUGUGUGUGUAUCUCUGUGUGUAUUUCGGUGUCCGUGUGCAUGUGUGUCUGUGUGUGUUUCUGUGUGUGUCUGCAUGUGUAUCUCUGUUUGUAUGUGUAUUUCUGCGUGUCUGUGUGUAUCUCUGUGUGUAUUUGUGUGUAUUUCUGUGUGUCUGUGUGCAUGUGUGUCUGUGUGUCUUUCUGUGUGUGUCUGUGUCAUGUUUGUGUGCAUUUGUGUCUGUGUGUAUUUCUGUGUGUGUUUGUGUCUGUGUGAAUGUGUGUCUGUGUGCAUUUGUGUCUGUGUGCAUUUGUGUCUGUGUGUAUUUCUGUGUGUCUGUGUGCAUUUAUGUCUGCGUGUAUUACUGUGUGUGUCUGUGUCUAUGUCAUGUUUGUGUGCAUUUGUGUCUGUAUUUCUCUGUGUGUUUGUGUCUGUGUCAUGUGUGUCUGUGUGCAUUUGUGUCUGUGUGUAUUUCUGUGUGUGUCUGUGUGUGUUUGUGCAUGUGCACACAUGGGUGCUCCAGCCACCGAGCCCAGCCCUCGGGGCACAGAACCCUCUGGGCACAGGGGCUUGGUCUCUGCUUCCGAAACGGCACCGCCAAUGUCUGUGAGUUUCGUGGGUGUCCCUGUGUGAUCCCCUCACUGGAAAGUCUGGCUGGCUACAGACAUUGCUGCUAUUCUCCUGGCAACUGCUGCAAACCACAAAGAGCUUCUUUCUUAUCCUUUGGGAGCAGGGGAACAAGGCUUCACUAUAAGGGGAUUAGGUUUGUAUUAGGCUUUGAUCAGAGAGGCAGAACCACCAGGAAAUGUGGCUGAGGGAUUUAUUGUAGGAUUUGCCCAUGUUUGAUAAGUCAAAGAAGGCUCUUGCUUCUGUGCCUGGUGUGGCAGCCUAGGGUCAGAAGAGCAGGUGGUGGGGCAGGAGAGCUGCAUGUCAGGUUGGGCAGCAGGAGCGCCCUGGAAACUGCCGGGUCGGAUGUCCUCUGCAAGGCAGUCUCCCUGUUGCUGUCCCCAGCUUUAAUUCUGGGAUCCCACAGGAGAAGAUGGGGCCCUUCAUCAGGUGCUAAAUGUCACACCUGUCCUGGGAGUUAAAGAACUCAUGGAAGACUAUGGCAGGAACAGGGCUGCUGUGGGUCCCCUGCUGCACACUGGCAAGGUGCCUGCCCACAGGUGACAGCAUGCAGGGCUGCAACAGCUCCAACCUUCUGGGCACAAAAAGAACAUGGCCACUGCUUCCCGCCUUCCCAAUUCUGCACCAUGCCUCUUGGGGCCAAACUGACCAGGGGCUAUGUAGGAAAGGGCAUUCUGGGCAGUACAGUUCUGCUUGGGUGGGCUGAUGCAAUAGAAACCCACCACGGUCUGCCCCUUGUCAACCUGGCACCAUAUAUGACUCACUUAGACACACUUAAUGCCUGAAUAAAGACAACAGCAAAAUCCUUGCUUAUGCCUAGCAUGAAGCAUGAUCCUCUGAACAACUGAAAACACACUCUGCCCAGAAGAGGAUACAAAACCCCUUCCUCCACCCCUGGGUGACAUCUCUUCCUCCUACAGCUAAGUCUCACACCCUUUCUGAUAUCCUGUGGCCUAAACGCCAAGUAUAUUUGUUAUCUAUUGCUCUAUAAAAAAUCACCCCAAAAUCCAGAGGCCUAAAACAAUAAAUGUGCAUGAUCUCACCUCUUCUGUGGACAAGAGUCUGGGCAUCGCUAAACUGGCUGCCUGUGGCUCACAGUUCCUCGCUAGGCCUCAGUGAAGCUUCCAGCCAAGGCAGUGAUCUCAUCUGAAGACUGGACUGGGAUGGUAUCAUCUUCCACGCUUGCGUGCAUGGCUGUUGGUUUGUGUCAGCAGCUUUCUGCCAUGCAGGCCACUCUGUGGGGCUACUCAUGAUGUGGCAGCCUGCUUCUUUCAGAAAAAGAGCUGCAAAAGAGAGAGAAAGCAAGAUACUGCAUGCAAGAUGGAAGUCAUGGUCUUUUUGUGACUUAACCUCUAAUCUUGGAAGUGAUAACCCUUCGCUUUUGUUGUAUUCUGUCCAUUCUUUGGAUUGAGGUACUAUGUCCAGCCCACAUUCCAGGGGAGGGGAUUACACAGGGCCAUAGAUACAGAGAGGAGGGGUCAUGGGCCCAUCUUAGAGGCCGCCCAGCCUGCUGAGAGAGAAGGUCACUACUAUCAAUGCAACGUAUGUUGGAUGCAGAGAAAUGGAAGAGGGAGGAGAAGUGUGGUUCACAUCUACUGACAGAUUCACAGCUAAAUACGGAAUAAGAACUUGUGACUGUUACACCUCAUGUCUCUACCUGGUCAUGCGGCCAUAGCUGUCCCAUAACUACCCUCCCUCGUGACUGUCCAUAGUCCCUGUGCCCUAGCAAGGCCCUCGGAGGGUCGUGCUUCCUUGUUUGGUGGGGUGACCCAAAUCUUCAUUCCCAAAGGAUCUGAACGUCUGAAACCUGCUACCAUUUUGGGUCAUUGUUGACCAUUUCAAUGUGGUUCAUAAUCAUCCUGGAGAGAAGGCAGGUGCCUCGGGGCCCAGGUAGUGGGACUUCAGGAGCCUGUGUGCUGCCCUGGGGCCUCUGGGUAGAGUGUGGCCUGGCCUCAGGUGCCCUGGGGGGUCUUGGAGUUGGGUCAGUAGAGGGUCUGAGUCACAGCCACCCCGUCCUUCUGGCCCAUCCUCCCAAGACCAUCUCUGGAAGGUUUUCCCCUGGUGGGUGUCAGAUGGGACAUCCCUGAGGAAGACCUGGCUCCAGGUGGAGGCGCCCCACGCCACCUUGGUUGUGGCGGCUGCCAGUCCUGGCCACAGCCCCAACCCCUAUGAGGCACCAGCAUCCUCUUUGGUAUCCACAGAGGUGGCAGGAAUCUGUCCAUCCACACCUUCAUCCACUCAUUAAGCAAAUGCGCGCUGGGGCUGACUUCUCAAACUGUGAAAAAGCCACGUGGGGCUCUGCCGUGGUGGGGCUGCCACCCCAGGGGACAGGACAACCCACCCUUGAACACAUACUAUGUGGGUCCAUUUCAAAUUGCAACCAAGGCCCUGGACAAAACAAAGCGAGGUGGCUCCAGAGCAUCACUGCCAGGAGGGGCCUCCUUCGAUGGGGGCAGCAAGGUGCUCUCCAAGGACCCAUGGAUGGGCCUGAAGGAAGAGGUCUCAGGAAUAAGCAAGCCACAGACACACCCUGCAGGCAGGAGGAGGACGGCAUGAAGGCUGCAGGUGCAGGGCUCUGUGCUCAGCUGGAUGGGGCUGAGGGAGGAGACCCAUUCAGAUGCUGGGGCCUGCUGGGUCGAAGGCCAGUCAGCUCCUCUUGCUCUCAGCCAGGCCAACCCUUGAGGGUCUCAGACUUCACUGUUCACCACUCCGCUACACACAGGUAGCCUGUGAAAGUCACUUCUCUAGAUCCCCAGGGACGUACAUCCCGCAACGCUAGCUUGGGCGGGACCUGAGUGCCAGCUGGGUGGCCAGAGGUGGGCGAAUUUAAGGCAGAUGGCAAAGCCAUUCCCACCCCAGGGCCACUGGUCGGCACAGCUGGGCACAGCCCACCACCUGCCAGACCUUUCAGAGGGAAUGCAUCUCCCUCCAAGCCAGGUCCCAGCUGGGAUCUUCCAGCUGAAGAGGUUUCCUUGGGCAGAAGCGAGAAGCGAAUUGGAAGAAAGAGGCCCUGACCCUCCAGGAGGCUCCAUUCUGCCUGUGGCCCUGAAAAAAGAGAGCAGGAAGGAGCAACUCUCACUUCUUCACAGCGACUUUGAGAAGUGGAAGACAGGGGCCGCUCCCCGGCUACAAACAAGAAGCCGAUGGAAACCAACACCGUCCCCUCCAGCCUCAUCUCCUCGCUCUUCAGAGUUUGCAGGGAGAUGCAUCACGAAGGCCCAUGAAGCUGUAAAGAUUAGUAUUCCAACCCGGGCAGCAGGGUUUUAAUUAGUCAUUAGGCCCUUUCUGCAGAGCCAUGCUGAACAGGCAAGGGCAGGGUGACCUUUCUCCGCCCAGCACUGUGGCAGCCUGUCUGCUUUGCAGGUGCACUUGGGACUCUGUCAAAACCGCUAAGAGGAGAGGACUGAGGCUGGGCCGGGAAGGAGGCCCUAGCCUCUCUGUUCCUGGGCAUGGCCCCCACCACGGGGGCACUGCAGACCUUUGCUCCCAUCUGGCUCUAGCUCACAGCUUGCACCCCUCAUCCACAAGGGACACAGACAGUUGCUCACGUGAUGGCUCUCCUAGCGAGCCCACGGGCAACGCCAGGAACAAGCCACCCAGGAGUUGAAGCACUUCCCUGGUGUGUGUGAUGGGAGAGGGGAGGGAGCCGGCUUCCUGCAGCCAGUCCCCGCCGGAUUCCAGGAAGGCGAGCGAACCCCUGCGGAAGGUCGGUUCUCAGCCAGGCAUCUGGGACCCCCCUGCCAAGUUGCCCCUUCUUGGCCAAAUGUCACCACAUACCAUAAAAUCACAGAGAACCUUCCAGCUUGCCUGCCUUAGAAGCCAACCCUCCCAACCUCCUGGUUUCUCGAGGACAGUGAGGCCAAGAGCAGCUGCAACCAGGGGCGUGCAGAGGCCGGUGGCUGAGCUGGGGCCAGGACCCUGGACUAUGGCUGUCUAUUUACAACCCAAAAUAAAACGCUAAUUGCCACCAGCACCUGCUGACAAAGAUUUCAAAUCAGUGUCCUCACGAGGACUUCUCCUGGGGCUUCCUGCCAAGCUCAUGAUGUGCUUCUAUCCAGUGGGUCAGCAGGCCCCGGUGUCUGAGGGCACAGCAUUUCUUUCUGCCACUGCUCCGGAUUAUCUGCCCCAGUCUGGCCCCUCGGCUCCUGCCUCACCCACAGUGCCCCCAGGCCUCCCUCCCGUGGGCUGUUCGGCUCCUGUCUCCCACCUUCUCUCCACCUUGGCAGCCGUCCAUGGCCACAGGCUUGCACCCGGGUCUUGCACUGAACGUCAACUCAGGUGCGAGGCUUUCCUUCCCAGCUUCACUGCAAACACUGCAGGCAGGCCUUGGGGUCAUCUGGCUCAGCACACCACAGGGACCCCACUAGCUCUUAUCCGCUGUAUGGGGGUCCCAUAGCCAUGGGCUGGGCACUUCAUAGGAAAUGGACGUCUGUGACCUCCAAGGGGUUACAGACACACCCUCCGAGGGGAGGUGACAGAAUGGCUGGAAGUCGCCACCACGAUCACAGCCCGGAGCCACUGUGGGGACCUUGGUGCGUGUGCCCCGUUCGUGUUGUCACCAGUGCAGGUGCCCUGCACCUCCGCCUCUCAGGAGCAGCCACCCAGCUACAGUCUGAGCAAUUGCACAUCUGGCUCACUGCAGUUCCUUGUAUGACAGCAAGGACAAUGUAACAGGUUUCAUGCCUUCUUGUCUGUGCUGUUAGUUCCUGAUGCCAAGCCCUUCCCAGGAGGCUGAGGAUCAGGCGGACUCUCAGGCCAGCAGCAGCAAGGUAGGAAGUCCUCCUGCCCCAGAUGCCUCCAGCCUGCAGACUUCAUAAUAAAUGGGAGGUUGGCUUUCCCAGCCAAAGCCAUAAACUUUAAUUGGGCUUUUUAAAGACCACAAAAGCAAAUAUAUGCCCUUAAAGAAACCCUUUGGUAACUUGCUCAGAACAUAAAGGUGACUAUUAGCAUGUGCUGAUUUGAAAUACCAAGAAGAAAAUAUCUCCCACAUCAACAUAUGCUAGUGUAAGGCAUGUCCUGUUUUGCAUAGCUCUCACGGUUCCCCACCCUAACACUAGGGCCCGCCUGUCCUAGAGGGCAGCAUGCUUGAAAUCAGAAGACUGCAUUUGGCCUGGCUCCACAUGCCCCUUAACAUUGUUCUUUUUUGUUUUCUUUGAGACAGGGCCUGUCGCCCAGGCUGGAGUGCAGUGGUGUAAUCUUGGCUCACCACAACCUCCACCUCUCAGCAACCUCCGCCCCCCAGCAACCUCCACCUCCCGGCAAACUCCACCUCCUGGGUUCAAGCCAUUCUUGUGUCUCAGCCUCCCGAGUAGCUGGGAUUAUAGGCAUACGCCACCACACCCGGCUAGUUUUUGCAUUUUUAGUAGAGAGAGAGUUUUGCCAUGUUGGCCAGGCUGUUCUCGAACCCCUGACCUCAAGUGAGCCACCCACCUCGGCCUCCCUAAGUGCUGGGAUUACAGCCAUGAGUCACCGCGCCCGGCCGCUCCUUAACAUUGUUGAGCUCCCCUUUCCUCCUCUGCGUAAUUAGUAAGAUCUCUUCCACCUGCCUCAUGGGCUGACUGAGGGAACAACCCAGACAGGGAUGAUCAUGACGGUGCUGUUGGCUGACUGUGGGGCUCGACACUGUGCUCAUCACUUUAUGCAUCUGAGAUGGAAAUGGUCUCAGCCACAGGCACAGAUGGGGAACCCAAGGCAAAGAGAGGUUAAGUAACUUACCCUUGGUCAUGCAGACAGUGGCUGAGCCCGAAUUCAGCCCCAGUGUCUUUAACUCCAGGUGUGAGGGCAGCGGCUCCAGCACGCGAGGCCCCAGGAGCCAGGCACUGCUCACAGCACCAGGCGUGACCGCAGCGGCUCCAGCACGCGGGGCCCCGGGAGCCAGGCACUGCUCGCAGCGCGGGUCGCUCACGUGUUCUUUGGAGGCAAAUCCAUGCGGCGUUCACACACACGGACCUUGCAGUUGCUUGCGCCUUUUUUUCUCUCCAACUCAUCACAGGGCAUGACUUCUCUCCAAGCUGCCUGAAAUAAAAUGAAUAACUUUUUAUGUGAAGUUCUUCGUGCUGAAGAGAACUUGUUCCAAAUGGGGAAUAAUUGGCCUUCCAGGGCUCCAUACCGGCAAUGAAGUGAAAGAUGCUGACGUUUCAGAGGUGUGGAAAUAAAAGGACUAAAAAUGGGAUUCGGAGCAGCUAAUGAGGGCAGAUCCGCAGGGUUUGAGAGACAAAAUGGGGAUCGCAGGUGGAAGCUGGCACCGCGGCCAGGGGCAGCCCACGCAGCAGCGAGUGGGGCCGAGGUCGUGGGCGGGUGUCCGGACCCUCAUCACAGGAACUUGCUGGAACCCCCAGAGGCCCCGGCCUCUGCUGGCUUUGAGGCCUCAGACCUCCCUAGUCCAGUCACGAGCCACCGAGCCCCCUAUACGAGUCUGCUCAGCGGCUGUAUGAAGCAUGUUAUGUUUGACGAAGGAUUAAACACCAGAAAUGUAUUGUCCCCGGUUCUGGAGGCUGGAAGUCUGAGAUCAAGGGGCUGGCAGGGCUGGUUCCUUCUGAGACCCCUCUCCCUGGCCUGUGGGUGCCAUCUUCUCUCUCUGUGGGUGUCCAUGUCUUUACCACCCCUUCUCCUAAGGACACCAGUCCUAUUGGAUUAAGGUCCACCCUAAUGGCCCCAUUUUAACUUAGUUACCUCUCUGAAAAUCCUACCUCCAAAUACGAUCACAGACUCCAAGCUGCUGGGGUGAGGACUUCAACAUGUGAAUUUGGGGCGAGGGGCAGCUUGGUUCAGCUCCUAACAUGCAUGUCAGCCACGCUCUCACUCACUCAUCCUUGUUUUGAUUCGUUUACAUGGUGCAUGUCUCCGGUGCCUACUGUGUGCUAAGCUGGGCCAAGACAGAAGCUGCCUGCCAGGAGCCCAGUGCCCAGUGGAGGAGGAGGGAUGGAGCAACAGGGCAGUAGGACGGGGUGUGGCUGUGCCCCAGAUGGGGAGGAGUUAGCCCUGGCCCCAUGUGCAGUGCAGCCUCCGGGUGCCCACCGCUCUGGGACUACAGAGUAGCUCCUUGGACAGUCAUGUCUUCAGAACUGAGAGCUGAGAUGACCCAGUUGGCCCAUAUUAGGCAGUUUCCAGUCCAGGAAAGGAGGGGGUGGCAUCAAGACCUGAGCUCUGGGGAGCACAUUUUGGGGUCCACAUUCUUGCUUUGCUUGUGGAAUGCCUGCAGGAGCUGGAGGCCACGCCACAGAGCCCUUGGGAGGAGAAACGGCCACGUGUGGAGGGCAGUCUGAUGGCAGGUAUCCACGCUGAAGAUACAUGUGUCCUUUGAACCAGCCCCCAGUUCCCUGGGAGAAUGUCUCAGAUCCCUAGGCAAAGGCACAAAGAUCUGGUGUGUUUACUGCUGUAAGAGACAGCCCCAAACCUCGGCAGUUUCUCCCAACAUAGAAACCCACAGAGCGAUGCUGUGAUCCAGGUCCUGCCUGCUCCAUGGUACCACCCUUCUCUGGUUCAGCAGACAGAGAGGGAGAGAGCGUGAGGACCACACAUGAGGGGUUUUAUGGCUGACCAGAAGCAGAACACAGCACUUCCUCUCACCUCCCAUUGACCAGACUCCAGUACACACAGGACCGCCUGAGAAACAUGUGCACCGGGGGAAGAGAGCGUGGUUGGAACACCAGCCAUCUCUCAUGCAAUAUUUAUCUAAAUUCUAAAAUAAUUGAGCAUUGAAUCCAACUGGAACUCCCU